GAUGAACGCUAGCUACAGGCUUAACACAUGCAAGUCGAGGGGCAGCACAGUGUAGCAAUACACGGGUGGCGACCGGCGCACGGGUGCGUAACGCGUAUCCAACCUUCCCGUUACUCUUGGAUAGCCUUCCGAAAGGGAGAUUAAUACAAGAUGGUAUUCAAAUUCCGCAUGUUAUUUGAAUUAAAGAUUUAUCGGUAACGGAUGGGGAUGCGUGACAUUAGAUAGUAGGCGGGGUAACGGCCCACCUAGUCUACGAUGUCUAGGGGUUCUGAGAGGAAGGUCCCCCACACUGGAACUGAGACACGGUCCAGACUCCUACGGGAGGCAGCAGUGAGGAAUAUUGGUCAAUGGUCGGAAGACUGAACCAGCCAAGUAGCGUGAAGGAUGAAGGUUCUAUGGAUUGUAAACUUCUUUUAUACGGGAAUAAAACCUCCCACGUGUGGGAGCUUGUAUGUACCGUAUGAAUAAGCAUCGGCUAACUCCGUG
rnacentral:rRNA from 1 species